UGGAUUUGGUGGACUUGUGCUGCAUUUUUGUAGGAAAACAAUCACUAUUAUUUUCUUCUUUUUUGCAGGUUAAGCACGAUUUAGUGGAAAACAAACAAUACCUGGUUGCUCCAGAUGAUGCUGGGAAGUGGCAGUUCCCUUUACCUGGGGCAAUGAGAAAGGAAAUAGAAUAUCAAACUUGAGAUCCAUCGUUGAUAUUGUGUAACCAAAGUUGUGCGAGACUCAGUAACCCUCCAUUGGAGGCGGCGAUCUAAAUUAUAUCACAUUCUCUGAAGCAAACUGUGGAUGGCUUAAUGCCACGAAGCGAGUUCAGUUGUGCGGUUCCUCCAAAAACACAGCUCUCGGAGCCUGGAUGCUUCUGGUAAUAAUCGUUGAAAGCAUAGGAAGCAUGAUCAUGGACAGUGU